UGGGGAAUAUUGCGCAAUGGGCGAAAGCCUGACGCAGCAACGCCGCGUGAGUGAAGAAGGUCUUCGGAUUGUAAAGCUCUGUCUUCAGGGACGAUAAUGACGGUACCUGAGGAGGAAGCCACGGCUAACUACGUGCCAGCAGCCGCGGUAAUACGUAGGUGGCAAGCGUUGUCCGGAUUUACUGGGCGUAAAGGGUGCGUAGGCGGAUGAUUAAGUCAGAUGUGAAAUACCAGGGCUCAACCCUGGGGCUGCAUUUGAUACUGGUUAUCUAGAGUGCAGGAGAGGAGAGCGGUAUUCCUAGUGUAGCGGUGAAAUGCGUAGAGAUUAGGAAGAACACCAGUGGCGAAGGCGGCUCUCUGGACUGUAACUGACGCUGAGGCACGAAAGCGUGGGGAGCAAA
rnacentral:rRNA from 1 species